GAGGUGGUGUCUGGAGGUGGAAGCCUGUGAGAGGGGCUAGGCCCACAUUUCUCGCUUGGGUGGGCGCUGUUGACGUUGGGGCUGGAUAAGUCGUUGUUGUGGGCGGCGGUUCUGUGCAUUGGAGGCUGUUGAGCAGCAUCCCUGGCCUCUACCCACUAGGUGCCAGUAGCACCCCUCCCCAGGUGACCAACAAAAACAUCUCUAGACGUUGCCAAACGUCCUGGGGGCAUCUCCCCCUGCUGGGACCCACUAGGUUGGCCAGGCCAGGCUGAGAAGCAGGAUGGUGGAGUGAGAAGGACCUGCUCAGCCUCCUUGACCCUCCUGCCCUCCAGCUCAGGCGGCCGGUCUUCUGUGAGUGUGGAGAAAAGCCAGCCUCCUGAAGAAAUCAACUCAGUGGAAGGUGCUUCUUCAAUCCCAGAGCCAUGUCAGGCCCUGGCUGGGGUUCUGUGGCCACCUCCUCACCUCGCCCUGCCCUGGAACACGCUCCUGUUCUCACCCCGAGAGAGACGUGGUACCGAAGGUGUUAAUCCAGGGAAUUAGAGGCUGAUGCAGCUGCUGGAAGGGUGGAGGAGUGAAGGUCAGGGAGCCAUCGCUGAAGGUCAGCCUGCAGCUUCCAAAAUGGAUGCUUCUCGAGCUCGCCUGGAAGCUGUGUGGAACCUCCAGGAAACUGUGCCAACAGCCCACAGCUGUGAGCAGAUCUCACGUGAGAGUCUCAUUGGCAGAGCAGUUCGUCAGGACCCUAUGCUGAAGGGGAGACUGGGAACCCCAAUUUCCGGAGAAGACCAUGGAGGAGGGGGUGAGACGCCGAGCACAGCUGCUGCCGGGCAGAGCUGGGGCCUGAGCUCAGAUCUGCAGGCCUUCUAACCCUCCACUGCCUUUCCCAAACCGUGCUGACCCCUGGCAAACUUGCUCUUAAGACUUCGCGAC
rnacentral:lncRNA from 1 species